rnacentral:rRNA from 1 species
AGAUUUAGCCAUGCAUGUGUAAGCGAACAAUUAGGGAGCUGCGGACUGCUCAGUAACAGGCGAUUAAUUUAAUCUUUACAAACGGACAAACUCAGGAAACGGAGUGUAAUACGUAAAAGAUGAUUUUUUAUUUAAAAAAAGAAAACAUUUUUAGCUUGAAUAAAGCGGUAAAGAAUAAGACGCCAACCCAUCAGUUAGUAAGUAGGGUAAGGGCCUAUUUAGACGAAUACGGGUACGGGGAAUUAGGGUUUGAUUCCGGAGAGGGAGCCUGAGAGACGGCUACCAGGUCCAAGGACGGCAGCAGGCGCGAAAAUUACCGAAGCUCAAAUAGAGGCGGUAGUAAUGAGACGUAUAAAUAAUAAUAUAAGGGUAAAAAACUUAUUAAUAACUGGAGGUCAAGUCUGGUGCCAGCAUCCGCGGUAAUACCAGCUCCAGGGGUGUCUAUGAUGAUUGCUGCGAUUAAAAGGUCCGUAGUCGAAUUUAAAUAAUUGUUUGUAAUAUGUUAGAUAAAAUAAUAAAAAGAACAAUUACUUAAAUGAAAGGAAUAACAAGAGGUUGAUUAAUUGAGUAACGAGAGGUGAAAUUUGAUGACUUACUUAGGAGAAACAGAGGCGAAAGCGUCAAUCAAGUGUAAAUCCGAUGAUCAAGGACGUAGGCUGGAGUAUCGAACACGAUUAGAUACCGUAGUAGUUCCAGCAGUAAACUAUGCCUACGCCAAUAAAUAAAAGUUUAAUGGACGAGAAAUCUAGAGUAGGGCUUUGGGGAGAGUACACGCGCAAGCGAUAAAUUUAAAGGAAAUUGACGGAAGAACACCACAAGGAGUGGAGUGUGCGGCUUAAUUUGACUCAACGCGGGACAGCUUACCAAACCCGAAAACUAAAAGAGUGAAUACACGAUAAGUUUAAGAGUGGUGCAUGGCCGUUAUCGACGAGUGAAGUGAUUUUAUGGUUAAAUCCGACAAGUCGUGAGACCCUAUAAAUAAUUAAUAAAACAGGUAUGAAAAUACAGGAAGGAUAGGACAAGAACAGGUCAGUGAUGCCCUUAAAUGGUUUGGGCUGCACGCGCACUACAGUGGUUAUAAUAAAAUAUUAUAGAAAAUUAAAUAAAGAAAUAUAAUCAAGAGGGAUUGAGUAUUGAAAAAUACCCAUGAACGAGGAAUUGCUAGUAAUCGUAGGCUCAGUAAGAUACGAUGAAUAUGUCCCUGUUCUUUGUACACACCGCCCGUCGUUAUCGAAGAUGGAGUUUUGCCCGAACGAGCUUUAGCGAGUAAGUGUAUGAUUCUAGAUCUGAUACAAGUCGUAACAAGGCAGCUGUAGGAGAACCUGUAGCUGGAUCA